UGGCUUCGUAAGGCCUCAUUUGGAGA
rnacentral:piRNA from 2 species